rnacentral:pre_miRNA from 1 species
GUUCUACUCCCUCCGUCCGAAAAUACUUGUCAUCAAAAUGGAUAAAAGGAGAUGUAUUUAGAAAAUAUUCUAAAUACAUCUCCUUUUAUCCAUUUUGAUGACAAGUAUUUUCGGACGGAGGGAGUAGUAU